AUACGGAGGAUGCAAGCGUUAUCCGGAUUUAUUGGGUUUAAAGGGUGCGUAGGCGGUUUGCUAAGCGGGAGGUGAAAUGCCGGCGCUCAACGGCGGAAGUGCCUCCCGAACUGGUGGACUGGAAUGACUCUGCCGUGGGAGGAAUGCGCAGUGUAGCGGUGAAAUGCUUAGAGAUUACACAGAACACCGAUUGCGAAGGCAUCUCACGAAGGGUUGAUUGACGCUGAGGCACGAAAGCGGGAGGAUCAAACAGGUAUAGAUGCCCUUGUAGUCCACGCAGUAAGCGAUGAUGGCUAACUGCUGGUUUUUACGGAUCAGUGGCCAAGCGAAAGCGAUAAGGCAUCCACCUGGGGAGUACGACCGCAAGGUUUAAACUCUAAGGAAUUGACGCGG
rnacentral:rRNA from 1 species